AACGAACGCUGGCGGCAGGCUUAACACAUGCAAGUCGAGCGCCCCGCAAGGGGAGCGGCAGACGGGUGAGUAACGCGUGGGAACGUACCAUUUGCUACGGAAUAACUCAGGGAAACUUGUGCUAAUACCGUAUGAGCCCGAAAGGGGAAAGAUUUAUCGGCAAAUGAUCGGCCCGCGUUGGAUUAGCUAGUUGGUGGGGUAAAGGCCUACCAAGGCGACGAUCCAUAGCUGGUCUGAGAGGAUGAUCAGCCACACUGGGACUGAGACACGGCCCAGACUCCUACGGGAGGCAGCAGUGGGGAAUAUUGGACAAUGGGCGCAAGCCUGAUCCAGCCAUGCCGCGUGAGUGAUGAAGGCCCUAGGGUUGUAAAGCUCUUUCACCGGUGAAGAUAAUGACGUAACCGGAGAAGA
rnacentral:rRNA from 1 species